UCUCCUACGGGGGGCAGCAGUGGGGAAUAUUGGGCAAUGGGCGCAAGCCUGACCCAGCAACGCCGCGUGAAGGAAGAAGGCUUUCGGGUUGUAAACUUCUUUUGUCAGGGACGAAGCAAGUGACGGUACCUGACGAAUAAGCCACGGCUAACUACGUGCCAGCAGCCGCGGUAAUACGUAGGUGGCAAGCGUUAUCCGGAUUCAUUGGGUUUAAAGGGUGCGCAGGCGGGCCUUUAAGCCUGCGGUGAAAUCGCGGGGCCCAACCCCGCCGCGCCGUCCGCA
rnacentral:rRNA from 1 species